UACGGAGGGUGCAAGCGUUAAUCGGAAUUACUGGGCGUAAAGCGUGCGCAGGCGGUUUGUUAAGUCCGUUGUGAAAGCCCCGGGCUCAACCUGGGAAUGGCCGUUGAAACUGGCGAACUGGAGUGUGGCAGAGGGGGGUGGAAUUCCGCGUGUAGCAGUGAAAUGCGUAGAGAUGCGGAGGAACACCGAUGGCGAAGGCGGGUCUCUGGGCCGUUACUGACGCUGAGGAGCGAAAGCGUGGGGAGCGAACAGG
rnacentral:rRNA from 1 species